UACGUAGGGUGCAAGCGUUAAUCGGAAUUACUGGGCGUAAAGCGUGCGCAGGCGGUGAUGUAAGACAGGUGUGAAAUCCCCGGGCUUAACCUGGGAACUGCAUUUGUGACUGCAUCGCUGGAGUGCGGCAGAGGGGGAUGGAAUUCCGCGUGUAGCAGUGAAAUGCGUAGAUAUGCGGAGGAACACCGAUGGCGAAGGCAAUCCCCUGGGCCUGCACUGACGCUCAUGCACGAA
rnacentral:rRNA from 1 species